rfam:Gorilla gorilla gorilla genomic chromosome, chr1, whole genome shotgun sequence
UCCCUGGUGGUCUAGUGGCUAGGAUUCGGCGCUUUCACCGCCGCGGCCCCGGUUUGAUUCCCGGUCUGGGAA